CAUCGUUGUUCUCAACUACGGGAAC
rnacentral:tRNA from 3 species